UAGAGGCAGUUUCAACAGAUGUGUAGACUUUUGAUAUGAGAAAUUGGUUUCAAAAUCAGGAGUCGGGGCUUUACUGCUUUU
ensembl:miRNA MIR8063 microRNA 8063